UCCCGGGUCGUCUAAUGGCAGGACGGCAGGUUUUGGUCCUGUUAGUCGGGGUUCGAAUCCCUGCCCGGGAG
rnacentral:tRNA from 1 species